GAAGAUAGAAUGUUGUAGAUUCUGAGAAACUGGCCCAAGUGACCCUGAAUUUUUGUGAAGUAUUGGUCCCCCUGUCUGUACUGUGAUUCAGGCUUUUAAACUGAUCACAUCCAGAAAACCUGGGGGAACCUGCUCUCAACAACUUCUUCCUCUCUGAAUUCAAAGACACUCAGGAAUUUUCUUGGUUGGAAGCUUAGGGACCUGUUGCUUCCAGGCAUUGGCAGGCCCAAGAUGGAUCUUGCAACAGGGUUCAUGAUGAUAUGAACUGCUGAGCUUCUGGGUUGGCCAUGAGAUGAGCAGUUAUUCUCUGCCACGUGCUUGAACUGCCACAAUGUUCUCCUCAAGUCUACUGGGUCAAGUGACCAUGGAAUGAAUGUGCUGAAACCGUGACUCAAACCUUUCCUCCUUUAAAGCUGUUCAGUCACAAACAAGUGAACUGUAGCAAGUAUCCUUCCUUGGCUGCUGUUCUAGUGGCGCCAGAUCACCCUUUCCAUGGAGACAAGACAUAGAAGCCAUCUUGAUGCUUAACAUCCUAGGCUUAUGCUAAACCAUAGAACAUUUCAGCCAGGCCCAGUAAUAACUCAUUUCAUGUAGGUUCAGAGUCAUAGAAAUGGAAGUCCCUGCAGAACCCCACAGAUACCAGCUCUCAGAACAUUUAGGGGGAUCCUAGAGCAACAGCUUCUUUUGGAGAACCUGAACUAGCUGCAUAACGGGUUGUCAGGGGCUGUGAGGAAGCUGCAAUUGGACAUCAGAGCUGAACUGGGUGAUGGGGCAGUUGAUUUGCUUUCUGGAAAAUUCUUCAUUUAUCUCUAAGAUCGCAGCAGUGUUCUGAUGGUUUGGUAUGGUACGAUGACUUAUUCUAUCAUACCACUUCUUUUCCAUACUGAAACCACCAUCACACAGAAUCUUUCAGCAACUCUCAGUCAUAAGGGCAGAUGGCAACUAUUAAUUAUAGUAUACAAUUAACAUACUGAUUUGGGAUGCUUGAAGUUUUAAAAAGCAUUGAUUUUAGAAAAACUAAAUCUAAUGGUGGAAUGCUUCUAUGACAGAAACAAUAAAUAAGGCACCUCUUUUAAAUGCCAGUCCCUUUAGAGCAAAGAUCCAACAUCAAAUUAAUAAUAUAGUUCCUCCUUUGCAGAUACACCGCCAACCCAUGAGUUGUGUAAUUCCUUGUGAGCUCUUUAUGUGCCUCCUAAAGAGGAUGCAAGGCUUGAGCACAGUGUAAUGGAGCUGGAAUCAGAUCCAACGCCUCUGUUCAUCUUGAGAGUUCUAGGUUACAUGGAUGACCUUUGGAUGAGCAGUGGACAACUCUAACUUCCAUCCGUGUUCCACAAAGAGUAAACACAAGCCUACCAGUGCUUCAGUCACAGUUUAAGAUGGUGAUAUGUUCCCAGUUCAGCCAACAGCUGGCUAGCACUCAAGAAAUAUUAAGGGUGAUUUGUAAGUGAAUUUUCCUUGGUGGAGAAAAAGGGGUGGAAAAAUUUUACACAAAUGGGAGAAGGAGAGAGGUAAACACAAAAGAAAAUGUGGGGGAGUGCAAAGGGGAACAGCAGGAUGCAAGUUAUCUGAGCGAGGAAAUAAGAAAAUGGGGGGAUUUUUAGGGAGGAGGCAGCGAGGGAGGUAAGUACAGAAGGAGGAAGGGGAGGGUAAAAUACCAAUAAGGAUUCUGAAGAAGCCACAAGGAAUCAUACUAUUAACUAUUUAGCUAAAAGAAACCUGUAACACAUGUAAUUUCUUGUAUAAUAUACAUACAGAGUUUUAAUGGACUUUUCUCAUCUGAGCCAAAGGUGCUCCCUCCCAGUGCCAAAGAUCAUAUCACAAAAACUUCAAUUCUGACAUGAGAAAGUCCUCUUUUUAGUUGUCGGCUAGGGCUGUCCAAGAGACUUCUAAAACAUACAGCCUAUUGCUGUUGCCCUUGGUUACAUCCUGGGAGUGGAAGUUAAGUCCCAAUUGCUGAAGACACCAUGCACUUUAGAAACAGGGCUCAGGAACUCCUGAGCUGGAGCUGACUUGAAGGCUCCCUCCAGAUGUCUAGAUUUGUUGGUAACAGAAGGCACUACACAAGCUUCCAAAAGAGGGAGGCAACCAAUAGCCCUACCCAACUGUGAUGCCUGUUAACCGCUUCUACAGACCAGCAUGGCACAACAACUCUUAUGGGUACAGGAGUGGCAUGCAUACCUUGGUAGUAACCAACGACUCUCCAAUUGGACUCAAGUUCUGCUAAACAAGUGGGAAAUCAUUCCUGGUGCUGGAAACCUGGGAAACCUCUCAGUGCUAGUGACAUCAUGGUCCUUGCAGGAGAAUCUACAACUACUAACUUAUUAAACCAGCAUAACCCCGAACAACAAUCUAUAAACAUAUUUACUUAUACCCAAAGGAAAGUGCAGCCCUCUCAUCAGAGAAACUUCUCUUUGCAACAGAUGGAGACCACUACAGAAAACCACAACCAAUCGAAAUGCAGAGCUGUGUAGCCCAGCCCCAGUGGACUCAUCUACAAAACGGGCUCUGCAGGUUCAGGGAACAUUGCAGUAGAGGUGGUGGUAUCAUAAGAACCAGGGGAUCUGGGAGUGUGCUGUGAGGUUGUAUCUCCUACUACUAUCAGAAGCGAUACCCAUAAAGUCUCAUCAACAUUAUGUCCAAACAGGAGCUGAACAAGGACAACACCAAUGGGCACGACAAAGUAGACGGGGAAAAGCCCACGAGGCCUCAACCCUUCACAAAGAAUUAGAGUCUACUGAGAAAAGCUGGGAGUGGGAGAGAUGGCUUUCCCCAUGGAAGAGCACAUCCAUUGGUUGUCUAGCACCAAAUGGUCAGCCCUGAAAACGUACAUUCAAAUAACAUUAUAUGGACUGAGCAGGUAAUAUCUGGGAAUAUGUAUGUAUAUACACAUGCAAUAACAGUUAGUGAAAAAAGAAGCCAUGGAUCUGAAGGAGAGUCAGGAGGGAUACAUGGGAGGGUUUGGAGGGAGAAAACACAAGGGAGAAAUGUUGUAAUUAUAAUCUCAAGAAUGAAAUAAAAAUAUUUUUUUACGCUAUUAUAAAUUUUGUGUAUUUCUAUACAACUCCCUUUUGGAAUCUCAUAAAAGUAGAAAAUGAAAAGAAAUGUAAUUUUUAUGCUGUGUACAGUACUCCUGCAUACUGUAAACUUCUUAUUAGGGUGUAAGUUCCAAUUGACUGUAAAUUCUUUACAACGAAAGGAAAACUUUUACCUGAAAGAAAAAAUGCAUUAUUCACAGUACACCCUUUCCUGACUAUUGGAGUCUAUGUCUUCAUGACUUUUGAGCUAUCCUACAACUCUGUAAGUUGUAGAUAACACACAGCAGUAUAAAAUAAUUUUACCUUUUCUACAUGUAAAUAUAUUAUGUCUAGUGGCUGUUCACCGAUCUGUUCCCCACGCUGUGCAAGCAGCCACAUUUUCUUCUGUGGCUGUUCA